rnacentral:rRNA from 1 species
AGUGGCGCACGGGUGCGUAACGCGUGGGAACCUGCCUUUAGGUUCGGAAUAACAGUUAGAAAUGACUGCUAAUACCGGAUAAUGUCUUCGGACCAAAGAUUUAUCGCCUUUAGAUGGGCCCGCGUUAGAUUAGAUAGUUGGUGGGGUAAUGGCCUACCAAGUCGACGAUCUAUAGCUGGUCUGAGAGGAUGAUCAGCCACACUGGGACUGAGACACGGCCCAGACUCCUACGGGAGGCAGCAGUGGGGAAUAUUGGACAAUGGGCGAAAGCCUGAUCCAGCAAUGCCGCGUGAGUGAUGAAGGCCUUAGGGUUGUAAAGCUCUUUUACCAGGGAUGAUAAUGACAGUACCUGGAGAAUAAGCUCCGGCUAACUCCGUGCCAGCAGCCGCGGUAAUACGGAGGGAGCUAGCGUUGUUCGGAAUUACUGGGCGUAAAGCGCGCGUAGGCGGCU